UGGGGAAUUUUGGACAAUGGGCGAAAGCCUGAUCCAGCAAUGCCGCGUGUGUGAAGAAGGCCUUCGGGUUGUAAAGCACUUUUGUCCGGAAAGAAAUCCUUGGCUCUAAUACAGUCGGGGGAUGACGGUACCGGAAGAAUAAGCACCGGCUAACUACGUGCCAGCAGCCGCGGUAAUACGUAGGGUGCAAGCGUUAAUCGGAAUUACUGGGCGUAAAGCGUGCGCAGGCGGUUUGCUAAGACCGAUGUGAAAUCCCCGGGCUCAACCUGGGAACUGCAUUGGUGACUGGCAGGCUAGAGUAUGGCAGAGGGGGGUAGAAUUCCACGUGUAGCAGUGAAAUGCGUAGAGAUGUGGAGGAAUACCGAUGGCGAAGGCAGCCCCCUGGGCCAAUACUGACGCUCAUGCACGAAAGCGUGGGGAGCAAACAGGAUUAGAUACCCUGGGUAGUCCACGCCCUAAAACGAUGUCAACUAGUUGUUGGGGAUUCAUUUCCUAGUAACGUAGCUAACGCGUGAAGUUGACCGCCUGGGGAGUACGGUCGCAAGAUUAAAACUUAAAGGAAUUGACGGGGUCAUAGCUGUUUCCU
rnacentral:rRNA from 1 species